UGGUGUGUGGACCAGGGUGUGUUUAUUUCC
rnacentral:piRNA from 1 species